UCCGUUUGAUCCCGGCAGAGGCCACUGCUAUCGGAGUUCGAUUAAGCCAUGCGAGUCGAGAGGUGUAAGACCUCGGCAUACUGCUCAGUAACACAUGGACAACCUACCCUGAAGAGGGGGAUAACCCCGGGAAACUGGGGAUAAUACCCCAUAGACUAUGGAUGCUGGAAUGCUUUGUAGUCGAAAGGUCCGCCGCUUCAGGAUGGGUCUGCGGCCGAUUAGGUUGUUGUUGGGGUAACGGCCCAACAAGCCUGUAAUCGGUACGGGUUGUGGGAGCAAGAGCCCGGAGAUGGAUUCUGAGACACGAAUCCAGGCCCUACAGGGCGCAGCAGGCGCGAAAACUUUACAAUGCGAGCAAUCGUGAUAAGGGAACUCCGAGUGCCUGUAAAAUCAGGCUGUCCGCCAGUGUAAAUAACUGGUGAAGAAAGGGCCGGGCAAGACCGGUGCCAGCCGCCGCGGUAAUACCGGCGGCUCGAGUGGUGGCCACUAUUACUGGGCUUAAAGCGUUCGUAGCUGGUCUGUUAAGUCUCUGGGGAAAUCUUCCGGCUUAACCGGAAGGCGUCUCAGGGAUACUGGCAGACUAGGGACCGGAAGAGGUGAGAGGUACUCCAGGGGUAGGAGUGAAAUCCUGUAAUCCUUGGGGGACCACCUGUGGCGAAGGCGUCUCACCAGGACGGCUCCGACAGUGAGGAACGAAAGCUGGGGGAGCAAACCGGAUUAGAUACCCGGGUAGUCCCAGCUGUAAACGAUGCGCGUUAGGUGUAUCGGUGACCACGAGUCACCGAGGUGCCGAAGAGAAAUCGUGAAACGCGCCGCCUGGGAAGUACGGUCGCAAGGCUGAAACUCAAAGGAAUUGGCGGGGGAGCACCACAACGGGUGGAGCCUGCGGUUUAAUCGGACUCAACGCCGGGAAACUCACCGGACAAGACAGCUGAAUGAUAGUCGGGCUGAAGACUCUACUUGACUAGCUGAGAGGAGGUGCAUGGCCGUCGUCAGUUCGUACUGUGAAGCAUCCUGUUAAGUCAGGCAACGAGCGAGACCCA
rnacentral:rRNA from 1 species